CGGAAAAGUCUAAUUUAAGAAAAGUCAUGUUAAAUUGCAAAGUAAAAAAGAAAUUAUAGUAUUUUAAACCUCACAUGGAAUAACAGUCAAUUUUAUUAUGGUUACUUUUCUUAAAUAAGACAUCCUUAAUGACGUAUGCACUGCACAUACUAUGCAGCCUUCAAAUGCGACCUCCUGAGCACGCAGCUAGUAGCCUACUGUGUGUGUGUCUACAGCUGUAUGUCUGCGUCCUUCACUCUCUCUCUCUCUCUCUCUCUGUUUCGCUGUAACGCUUUAUAUCGCGACAUUAAAUGUGUGAGGACACAAACACUGAAGACGAUGAAGAAGUAAAAGUCAAACUGACAGAGUGCGCGUUUGCUUCGAGUCAGGACCACUACACUGAAAACAGAAGAAAUGUUGGCUGCUUUCAGAGGACUUCCAAGGAUUUUGCUAAUAUUCAGUCUAGUACUGAACUCUACUUUAGGUGCUGACACUGGAUGUGAUGACUGGAUUCUUAAUGGAAACGAUGGUGUCUGCUGCAAGAAAUGCAA